GGAACCAGGGGGGAUGUAAAAGGUAAUUGUAAUAUAUAAACUAUGGACUUACAGCUGACAGUGGAGUAGUAGUGUCUGUGUGUAGCUUCUGUGGAGGAGCUGGAUGGCCCUUUUUUCUUUUCUUUUUGCCCCCUGCAUCCCCUGAUUCUACAGUAUCUCACAGAAGAGGCAAGAGCUUCCACCAGUAGAGAGUCAUCCGCCCAACCACCAUCACUGAUGAGCUGGAGCUGGCAGCUGCUGAGGGAGGGUCCCUGUCCUGUGGAGGUGAAGUACAGGACUCCAAGCGAUCUACUUACCUGUCUCCAGCGUCUCCUGUUCUCCUCGUGUGAUUCCCCGUGUGAUUCCCCGUCAGUGUGUGAGUGUUCUCCGUUCUCCGUGUCAAGAUUCUCCAGCGUCACUCAAGUUCUCCACAGCUGCAACCACCAAAAGGACAGUAUCACCAUUCAGCACUCCAUUCAUCAUCACUGCUUAAGUUAUAUUCAC